rnacentral:lncRNA from 1 species
GACGAGCCAGUGGCCACCACUCAUGGCUAUUGGACGUCGUCAAUACAUGUAUUGUAGAUUAUAUAUAAUACGCUAAUAUUUUAAGACGACUCCAAAGCAAUAAUUGAAUAAAAACCAUACCCAAAGAAAAUUGAGGUUCACAUAAUCUGCAUAUAUACACUAGUCAUUUUGAGAACUCGUAGUUUCAUAUUUAAGCUCUUAUAUUUGCUUUAGAAACAGUAUGGAACUCACUAGAGUUGAGAGUAUGGAAUUCCAGAGAAGGUCUAAAGCAGUACUCAAUUUAAAGGAAAGGAUUGAAGAGCAGAGGAAAGCCAAACAGAGAAAAAUACAAAUAGAAAAGGAGAGGAUUGAAAACGAGAGGAAAGCUAGAAUCAAAAAAAUACAAAUGGAAAAGGAAAAAAUUGAAGAGGAGAGGAAUGCUAGAUACGAAAAAUUACAAAUGGAAAUUGAGAGAAUUGCAGAGGAGAAGAAAGCUAGAUAUAGAAAAAUACAAAUGGAAAUUGAGAGGAUUGAACAGGAGAGAAAAGCCAAACAUAUAGAAAGACAAAAGAGAUUUGAAUAGUGGAAAAUAAACAAAACCAUAAUCAGAAACCGAAUCACCACAAAAUUUGGUGAGUUCAUAUAUCUUAAAUUUUCUUCAUCUUGCUAGUUAUAAAGGCAUAAUACAAUGACUUCCAAAAUUAUAAGGUCUAAUUAUUAUUUGAUAUAUUAAAUAUUUUUACAAAUAGUUCCAAUAUUAUGUUAUACAAAAAAAAAAAUUGAUUGUUUUCUAUAUGAGUUUGAACAUUUGAAUUAUAUCUAAUGUGACGGUAACGUAUCUAUUUGUCCACUUUUCUCAUUUUUUAUCCUCCCUUUUUCUCUUUUUUUUUAUUCUUUCUACGAUUUCAUCUUUCUAUCACUUUUUUACGUAUCUAUUUGAUACUGUACACCAUUAAUAACACUUUCAUAUUAGGUGUCCCAGCUCUAGACUUAUUUUUAGUAUCUAUAUUAAUUUCUUUAUUAAAUAUAUAAGAACUAUCUUUUUCUUCUUAUUUAAACACUUAGAACUACACCCUCUCUUCUUUCUAAAGUGACGAUUUUUUAGAACAAUUUAGCAUUUUUAUUUUUCGUUUUCCAAAUUUAAAAUAAUAAUAUUAAUUAUUAUUUUUUUAUUUUAAGAUAUUAUAAAUUUUAUUAUAAUUAAUUCACACAACUAUGAUGUCUAGAUUUCAAUUGGGAUCAUAUUAACAAUAUCGACAUUUGUCAAUUAAAUUAAAACUUAAAAACUUCUAAUUAUUUAUAUAGAGAGAUAAAUAAGUGGAAUGAAAUAAUAAAUAUUAUUUUUUUGUGAAAGUUAAUAAAUAGGUAAAGGAAAAGAUAAAUUAAUUUCAUAAAAUUAACCAAAUUUAAAUUUGAAACAACAGUAAAAAAUAUGGUGAUAAUAAUAAAAGUUUAAGAGUUUAAUAUCGAUAUAUUGUAAAUGUAAAAUAGUUUUACAUCAAAUAUCUAAUAAAAUUCACGAUUUUUCCAUGGAAUCCUACUUUAUAACCACAAUCUAAAUAUAAUCUUUAAUAAUAAUUUGCAAGUCUAGUAACCAUAUCUGUUAUUUUAAUUUAUUUAUUAAUAUAUAGUAGCAAAUUCUAACCUUUUCUUUUACUCUCCUCUAUGAAUUAUUGGCAUGAUAAGUAUUGAAGAUCGAAUUUCAGUGUCAACAACAAAAUAACUAAUGAAGAUCGAAGAAAGCUAGAAUUAUGGCAAAUUCUCACCAUUUCUUUUUUAUUUGACUAUAUAAUGUAGCAUAUAUAGUG